rnacentral:rRNA from 1 species
GACAGAGGGCCCGAGUGUUAUUCGUUUUGAUUGGGCGUACAGGGUACGUAGGUGGCUCUUGAGUUUUUGGCUAAAAUCGUGGAGCGUUCCUACACGGUAGCCUUCUAUCGAUAGAGCUUGUGUUGGUGAGAGGUCGGUUCAAUUUUGCAAGUAGGGGUAAGAUCCUUCUAUAUGCGAAGGAAAGUCAGCUGGCGAAGGCGUCCCUCCCGCUCCAACAGACGCUAAGGUACGGAAGCUUAGGGAUCAAACAGG